rnacentral:rRNA from 1 species
CUUUACUGUAGCUUUGCAUUGGACUUUGAACCGAUCUGUGUAGGAUAGGUGGGAGGCUAUGAAACCGGAACGCUAGUUUCGGUGGAGCCGUCCUUGAAAUACCACCCUGGUUUGUUUGAGGUUCUAACCUUGGUCCGUGAUCCGGAUCGGGGACAGUGCAUGGUAGGCAGUUUGACUGGGGCGGUCUCCUCCCAAAGGGUAACGGAGGAGUACGAAGGUACGCUAGGUACGGUCGGAAAUCGUGCUGAUAGUGCAAUGGCAUAAGCGUGCUUAACUGCGAGACCGACAAGUCGAGCAGGUGCGAAAGCAGGUCAUAGUGAUCCGGUGGUUCUGUAUGGAAGGGCCAUCGCUCAACGGAUAAAAGGUA